rnacentral:rRNA from 1 species
UCUUUUAUAAAAUUGUUAUUUAUUUAAAUAUUGAUGUAGUAAAGUGUAAAUAAAUAUAUUAAUUUUGUGUCAAAAUAUAUUUUUUAUAAUUAACAAGAUUGGUAUUUAAUUCUUAAAUAUUAAAUUUGUUGUUUUAUAUUUGGAUUAAUAUUUUAAAAAUAGAGUAUUAAUAUUUAAAAUUUAAAAUUAAAUUGAACUGUUAUUAUUAGUUUAUUAUUUUUUAUUUUAUGUUUAAAUAUAUAAUUAAUGAUGACACAGUUGUUUUAUAUGUAACUAAUUAAAAUAGUAAGAUUAUGUAUUUAAUUUAAAAAAAAAAUAUUUAAAAAUAAAGUAAAUAUUAUGUAUAUUUUAAAAAUUAAAAAAAGUUAGCCAAUAAAGUAUUAAAUAAAUUAAUAAUUUUAAUUGAGUAUUAAUAUUACUAAUGUAAUUUGUACUUAAUAGUGAGAUAUAAACAAAAAUUGGUGUGAAAAUAAUAGUAAUAAUAGUAUUCUAAUAUUUAGUAUUUGUUAAUUUAAAAGUAAAAAUAUCAUAAUAAAAAGCAUUAUUAUAUAAUAUAUAUUUUUAAAAUUACAAAAAUAUUGUUAAUAAAGUCUUCAAAUUUUAAAAACGUUUAUUAAAUGCGUCUAUCUAAGAACAAUAUUUAAGAUUAUUCUGGUAAAUAUUUUUAAUUUUUAAUAGUUCUAAUAAAUAUAUAAAAAACCCUUGUGUGUAAUAAAAUGUAGCAUAGUAAUUUGUUAACUAAUUAUUAAAGUGUUCCAUAGAAAAUUUUAAAAUUAAAACAAUCAUAGUAAUUUAUGAAUUAAAAUAAAAAUUUUAAAAAAAAUUAAAACAUUAAAAUAGGGCAAGUCCUACUCUCCUUUACAAAGAAACCAUGUAAUAUGUAUUUGUAUGUUUGAUUGGGGCAAUACUAUAUCUUUAUAUAUAGAAUAAGAACUAUAAUUAUUGAAAUAAUAAAAGGUUCGAGCAGGUUAACAAGCAUUAAAAAAAAUGUGUUUCAUCGUCUACUUAUUAUUAAAAUUGAUUGUUCAUCAAAAAUAUAAUUCGUUAGUUGGGUUAAAAUCGUUGUAAAGCAGAUUUGUUUAUAUAUUUAAUGUGUAUAAAGCAUCAAAUUUACAUUAGUACGCAAGGAUCAUUUAUUAGCCAUCAAAAAAC